UAGCCAUUUUAAGAAAAAGGAGAAGGAAAUGACUAGUCACUGCUGGGAUUAGUCAUACACAUGAGUUCAACGUCCAGCCAAAUCACAACCAUCACUUAAGACUUCUUCCUUUACGAGAUGAUGGACAGGGAGAGUUAAGGAGCACCCAUCCUGGAAAAACUCAGCAGGAAAAUCAAGAUUCAGAACUGAAGUUUCUGGAAGUGGAAUUUGGGAACUGGGAUGAGGGUCUAGUACAGUGCUUCUCACUCCCGACUGAAGAUGAGAAUCAGCCCAGGCGCAUUGAGAACACCAACGCCCGGGCCCCUCCAAGCCAAGUGAAAUGAAAGCACUGGAUGCCCGGGUUGAAAUCUUAUCUAUAAUUCAAAAAUGCAAAAACAUCUGAAAAACAAUAUUUUUCUGCAACUCAUUUGGCUGAAAACUUGACCUGAAUUGAUGUGAGUCUAUUUAUAGACGUGAGUUUAUUUAUCCCACUUAUGGUGAAUAAGCAUAUGUUUUACUGCAGAAAUAAUAAUGUGUUUGAUUUUAGAGUGUUGUCCCAAUCACUUCUGACAGUGUCAAGUAAUACAUGGGAUUUUCUGAAUUCUGAAACACAUGUGGCCCCAAGAGUUUUGCUUCAGUUAUGGACUUAUAUUCUAAAAGUAUACCCUAAGCUUUAGUCACUUUCAUGAUUUUUGUCAUAGUCGUUGUAUACCAUCUAUGUUAGUAUUUCCUUUAUAUUUUUUAAUUAAUAUGAUUUAUUUUUAGAGUAGUUUUAUGUUUACAGAAAGUACAGACAAUUCUCUUGUACUUUCUUCUCCCCUGCCCACAGUUUCUCCUAUUAUUAAUAACUUUCAUUAGUGUGGUACAUGUGUUACAACUGGUACAACAAUAUUGAUCCCCUAUCCCCACUGCAAACCCCUGGAAACCACUGAUCUUUUUACUGUCUCUAUAGUUUUGUCUUUUCCAGGAUGUCAUACUGUUGGAAUCAUAAAGUAUGUAGCCCUUUCAGACUGGCUUCUUUCACUUAACAACAUGUAUUUAAGGUUCCUCCAUGUCUUCUCGUGGCUUGAUAACUCAUUUCCUUUUAUAGUUGAAUAAUAAUCCAUUGCAUGGAUAUACCACAGUUCACCUAUUCAAGGACAUCUUGGUUGCUUACAAUUUUUUUUGCAAUUAUGAAUAGUGUUGCUUAACAGUUGUAUGCACGUUUUCGUGUAGAUGUAAGUUUUCAACUCCUUUGGGUAAAUACCUAGGAGUGCAAUUGCUGGAUCAUAUGGCAAGACUGUGUUUAGCUUUGUAAGAAGCUGCCAAACAGUCUUCCAAAGUGGCUGUACCAUUUUGCAUUCCCACUAGCCAUG